rnacentral:sRNA from 1 species
UCACUCCAACCUCUUUUCGCUGGCUGAACUCACGGGAAUCAAAUGGCGUAGGUACAAUUUUGGAGGGCAUGGGGACUGUGGACCCAUAAUUUCAGCCCCAGCCCAAGAUGAUCCAAUUCUGUUAAGUUUCAUCCGCUGUCUGCAAGCUAACCUGCUUUGUGUAUGGCGUCGUGAUGUCAAACCAGAUUGCAAAGAGUUAUGGAUAUUCUGGUGGGGAGACGAACCCAACCUAGUGGGUGUAAUACAUCAUGAACUGCAGGUUGUGGAAGAAGGACUCUGGGAAAAUGGCCUUUCCUAUGAAUGUAGGACGCUGCUCUUCAAAGCGAUCCACAAUCUGUUAGAAAGAUUUGGUCAGAGGAAGCCCCUUUGUCAUGGCUCGCUCCUAUGUCCUUUUGACAUGAUCCCAUCGUUGGAGCAUCCCCUUACUUUCUGGCAUAACAAUAUGUUCCAGGCUCUGAAUAGUGUUUUGAGGGGAGAAGUGGAUGAGAA